rnacentral:rRNA from 1 species
UACGUAGGGAGCAAGCGUUGUCCGGAAUCAUUGGGCGUAAAGCGCGCGUAGGCGGCCUCAUAAGUCCGUUGUGAAAGUCCAGGGCUCAACCCUGGAAAGCCGGUGGAUACUGCCGGGCUAGAGUCCGGAAGAGGCGAGUGGAAUUCCUGGUGUAGCGGUGGAAUGCGCAGAUAUCAGGAGGAACACCGAUGGCGAAGGCAGCUCGCUGGGACGGUACUGACGCUGAGGAGCGAAAGCGUGGGGAGCGAACAGG